ensembl:lncRNA
AUGCUUUUGUGGAGCAAUGGGUAACGAUGCUUCGAGGGUGACUGUUGUUGAUGUGUGCAGAGGGUCCCUGGUUCGCGCCCGGGUAUGGGUGAGGGAAGGGGACGGUCUAAAGUUAUACUGUUACACAUCCACAUGUGCAGUAGCUUCAGGACAUUUAGCUGUCAGGAAGAGGGGUCCGGAACAGUCGGAUCUGUAGCCUCUCCGUUGUUUAUAUAUUAGUGGUUUGAGAGAGAGGCCAUAAAAUGUUUUCAGACACAUUUGGAAGGCAUGUCUUGAUACAUAAUGGCAUCUUAAAGAUGUAUUUUUUUUUAAAGUAUCUAUGUCUUGAAGCGUCUCAAGAUUUCUCAACUUGUGAUGGCUGGGUACGUAGGUUUAUAAACGAUCAGAAACAUAUUUUCGCAGUCUUCACUUUGGGCUUCCAUAGUCCGUUUGUGAUGGCUGGGUACGUAGGUUUAUAAACGAUCAGAAACAUAUUUUCGCAGUCUUCACUUUGGGCUUCCAUAGUCCGAUUGUGACAGGUGGCAAUAAAGGGCCCAACUACGGUGGGAUGAACGUAUCUUCUGUCGUUGGCUUUUAUCCUUUUAUGGAAAUAGGGAGAACGUGCAUUUUUUUAUGGCUUAUGAAAAGUUUUACAGACCCCUCAGAGCUUUUUACAGUAAUGUUUUCCUCAUUGAAAUAAGAACCCUGUUUAUACCUGGUGCUAUCAUGCGUUUCCUUUGUCCUGAACUUGUCCACAUUCUGAUUUGUGUCCACAUUUACACAGACGAGUAAACUAACUGAUUAGCAGCAACAUUUCCUGAGGCAGUUUGGGACGAAUUGAUUGGCUGGAUCCAAGCUUACUGACAGGCCAGUGGGCAGGGUUUACAGGUGAGCGUCAAAUAAGAAAAGGAGUGUCUGCGGAGCUGACUUUUACGGGAUCUUUAGUCCACCGGAUCCUGAUGCUUUACACUAUAUAUUCUCUGUUCUCUAUUACACAGGUGGCAAACGGGAGGGGCAACUGUCUGCGUGUUAUCACUCCUGCCUUGUACUUAAUUAAUAAAUAAAGGUCACUGAUUAGUAAGGAACUCCCUUCACCUGGUUGUCUAGGUCACUGAUUAGUAAGGAACUCCCUUCACCUGGUUGUCUAGGUCACUGAUUAUUAAGGAACUCCCAUCACCUGGUUGUCUAGGGCUUAAUUGAAUAGAAAAGGAAAAAAAAACAGCAGACACUAGAACCUCUAUGGAAUGAGUUGGACACCGCUGGUCUACUAUGUGUAAAGAACAAGCCACUGGGGGUUCUCCUUUAAUGAAGUUAGGUCACAGCUGAAUGGUGCUCCUUUUAAUGAAGUUUUUUAAUUUUAAAAAUUUAAUUUCACCUUUAUUUAACCAGGUAGGCCAGUUGAGAACAUGUUCUCAUUUUUUAACUGCGACCUGGCCAAGAUAAAGCAAAGCAGUUCAACACAAACAACACAGAGCUACACAUGGAGUAAAACAAAGAGUCAAUAAUACAGUAGAAAAAUAAGUCUAUAUACAAUGUGAGCAAAUGAGGUGAGAUAAGGGAGGUAAAGGCAACAAAAGGCCAUGGUGGCGAAGUAAAUACAAUAUAGCAAUUAAA